CAAUAGUGUAUAUUAAAGUUGUUGCAGUUAAAAAGCUCGUAGUUGAACUUCUGACAGUGUGCAGUUUUGGCUUCGGUCAGGCUGUUCGCUGUCAUCCGUCUGCAAACCUUGUUCGACCUUCACUGGUACGGCAAGGGGAGUAGACAUUUUACUUUGAAAAAAUUAGAGUGUUUCAAGCAGGCAAUCGCCAGAAUACUUUAGCAUGGAAUAAUGGAAUAGGACUCUUGUCCAUUUGGUUGGUUAUUGGACAUGAGUAAUGAUUAAUAGGGACAGUUGGGGGCAUUAGUAUUUAAUUGUCGGAGGUGAAAUUCAUGGAUUUAUUAAAGACUAACUUAUGCGAAAGCAUUUGCCAAGGAUGUUUUCAUUAA
rnacentral:rRNA from 1 species